rnacentral:rRNA from 1 species
AACGAACGCUGGCGGCAUGCCUAACACAUGCAAGUCGAACGAGACCUUCGGGUCUAGUGGCGCACGGGUGCGUAACGCGUGGGAAUCUACCCUUUGCUACGGAAUAACUCAGAGAAAUUUGUGCUAAUACCGUAUGAUGUCGAAAGACCAAAGAUUUAUCGGCAAAGGACGAGCCCGCGUAGGAUUAGCUAGUUGGUGUGGUAAAAGCGCACCAAGGCGACGAUCCUUAGCUGGUCUGAGAGGAUGAUCAGCCACACUGGGACUGAGACACGGCCCAGACUCCUACGGGAGGCAGCAGUGGGGAAUAUUGGACAAUGGGCGAAAGCCCGAUCCAGCAAUGCCGCGUGAGUGAUGAAGGCCUUAGGGUUGUAAAGCUCUUUUACCAGGGAUGAUAAUGACAGUACCUGGAGAAUAAGCUCCGGCUAACUCCGUGCCAGCAGCUGCGGUAAGAC